ACCUCCUUUCUCUGCGCCCUCUUAUUCUUCACGUGAGAAAUAUUUUUAUGUGAUUUUUCUCAUUCCUAGAAGUCUUUUCCAUGCCUUCAUCUGAUUCCUUUUGAAUUAGAAAUUGAUUGAUUUAAAUUUAAGUUUAAAUGGGUUUGAAUUUGAAUGAAAAUCUAAGGUCCAAAUUGAGUUGGAUUCUCCUCUUCACGCCACCAUCUUUCUCCAUGCAUAAAGUAUUUUUGCAUGAAAUUUUUUGUACCAUUCUAAUGUUAGUCGACCCUUCUCUAAGUUCAUAAGAUGAGAAUAAAGUUUGAUUCAAAAUUUAAUUCAAAUUUAAUUUGAAUUGGUGAUAAGGAUCAAUCAAUGUUUGAGUUUGAACUGAAACUACCUCUUUCUUAUCCUUAUCUUCUAUGAGAUGCCAACCUUAAAAGAGGAUCAGUUUUAUGCGAGAUUAAAAGUAAUUUUUGACAUGAGAAACCUAAGAGUAGGGAUAUGAAAAGUUGAGAGUGGGUUGGGCUUUCGUGUGUGAGAAAUAGAGGAAGUGUUCUUCCUCUCGGGCGUGAGCUGUGGGUUCUAGGGUUUCAACUUUAGAUUUUGUGAGAAGAAAAUACAAGAGUGAGUCUUGUCCAAUCUAUCACACCACCACCUCCUUAUAAAGCUUCAUCUUUUGAUCCAAAGAAGUUUGGGAGAUCCGAAGAAAAGAGCUUGGAUCAGUCAUCCAAAGCUUUCGAUGCGAGCUAGUACUCUCGUGAAGGAAGAUCUGAUCAGAGC
rnacentral:lncRNA from 1 species